rnacentral:rRNA from 1 species
AAAGAUUAAGCCAUGCAUGUCUAAGUAUAAGCAAUUAUACCGUGAAACUGCGAAUGGCUCAUUAAAUCAGUUAUCGUUUAUUUGAUAGUACCUUACUACUUGGAUAACCGUGGUAAUUCUAGAGCUAAUACAUGCUGAAAACCCCAACUUCGGGAGGGGUGUAUUUAUUAGAUAAAAAACCAAUGCCCUUCGGGGCUUCUUGGUGAUUCAUGAUAACUUUACGGAUCGCAUGGCCUUGCGCCGGCGACGGUUCAUUCAAAUUUCUGCCCUAUCAACUUUCGAUGGUAAGGUAUUGGCUUACCAUGGUUUCAACGGGUAACGGGGAAUUAGGGUUCGAUUCCGGAGAGGGAGCCUGAGAAACGGCUACCACAUCCAAGGAAGGCAGCAGGCGCGCAAAUUACCCAAUCCCGACACGGGGAGGUAGUGACAAUAAAUACUGAUACAGGGCUCUUUUGGGUCUUGUAAUUGGAAUGAGUACAAUUUAAACCUCUUAACGAGGAACAAUUGGAGGGCAAGUCUGGUGCCAGCAGCCGCGGUAAUUCCAGCUCCAAUAGCGUAUAUUAAAGUUGUUGCAGUUAAAAAGCUCGUAGUUGAAACUUGGGUCUGGCUGGCAGGUCCGCCUCACCGCGUGUACUUGUCCGGCCGGGCCUUCCUUCUGGAGAACCUCAUGCCCUUCAUUGGGCGUGUUGGGGACCAGGACUUUUACUUUGAAAAAAUUAGAGUGUUCAAAGCAGGCCUUUGCUCGAAUACGUUAGCAUGGAAUAAUAGAAUAGGACGUGCGGUCCUAUUUUGUUGGUUUCUAGGACCGCCGUAAUGAUUAAUAGGGACAGUCGGGGGCAUCAGUAUUCAAUUGUCAGAGGUGAAAUUCUUGGAUUUAUUGAAGACUAACUACUGCGAAAGCAUUUGCCAAGGAUGUUUUCAUUAAUCAGUGAACGAAAGUUAGGGGAUCGAAGACGAUCAGAUACCGUCGUAGUCUUAACCGUAAACUAUGCCGACUAGGGAUCGGGCGAUGUUCUUUUUCUGACUCGCUCGGCACCUUACGAGAAAUCAAAGUUUUUGGGUUCUGGGGGGAGUAUGGUCGCAAGGCUGAAA